rnacentral:rRNA from 1 species
UACAGAGGUCCCAAGCGUUGUUCGGAUUCAUUGGGCGUAAAGGGUGCGUAGGCGGCGCGGUAAGUCGGGUGUGAAAUCUCGGAGCUUAACUCCGAAACUGCAUUCGAUACUGCCGUGCUUGAGGACUGGAGAGGAGACUGGAAUUUACGGUGUAGCGGUGAAAUGCGUAGAUAUCGGGAGGAACACCUAUUGCGAAGGCAGCUCGCUGGGACGUAACUGACGCUGAGACGCGAAAGCGUGGGGAGCAAACAGG